rnacentral:rRNA from 1 species
AUGGUCCCCAAGAAGGACAAGUCACUUCGCAUGUGCAUUGACUUCAAACAUAUCAAUCGGGCCUGCUCGAAAGAUCAUUUUCCUCUCCCCCGCAUCGACCAAAUAGUCGACUCAACUGCGGGAUGUGAGCGCCUGUCUUUUUUAGACGCCUAUUCCGGUUACCAUCAGAUCCGUUUGUAUGGACCCGACGAGAUUAAAACAGCUUUCAUCACUCCAUUCGGGUGCUUCUCCUAUGUCACCAUGCCAUUCGGCCUCAAGAAUGCCGAAGCCACGUUCAUGAGGAUGAUUCAGAAGUGUUUGCUCACUCAAAUCAGUCGGAAUGUGGAAGCAUACAUGGAUGAUAUUGUGGUCAAAUCA